AAUUUUGCGCAAUGGGCGAAAGCCUGACGCAGCAACGCCGCGUGAAUGUUAAGCCCUUCGGGGUGUAAAGUUCUGUCAGUGGGGACGAAACUUGACGGUACCCACAGAGGAAGCACCGGCUAACUCCGUGCCAGCAGCCGCGGUAAUACGGAGGGUGCAAGCGUUGUCCGGAAUCAUUGGGCGUAAAGAGUUCGUAGGUGGUAUGUUAAGUCUGGUGUUAAAGCCCGAAGCUCAACUUCGGUUCGGCACCGGAUACUGGCAAACUUGAAUUUGGUAGAGGUAAAGGGAAUUCCUGGUGUAGCGGUGAAAUGCGUAGAUAUCAGGAGGAACAUCGGUGGCGAAGGCGCUUUACUGGACCAAUAUUGACGCUGAGGAACGAAAGCCGGGGUAGCAAAUGGG
rnacentral:rRNA from 1 species